AUUGAACGCUGGCGGCAGGCUUAACACAUGCAAGUCGAGCGGGGUGAUGGUGCUUGCACUAUCACUUAGCGGCGGACGGGUGAGUAAUGCUUAGGAAUCCGCCUAUGAGUGGGGGACAACAUCUCGAAAGGGAUGCUAAUACCGCAUACGUCCUACGGGAGAAAGCAGGGGAUCACUUGUGACCUUGCGCUAAUAGAUGAGCCUAAGUCGGAUUAGCUAGUUGGUGGGGUAAAGGCCUACCAAGGCGACGAUCUGUAGCGGGUCUGAGAGGAGGGACCGCCACAAUGGGACGGAGACACGGCCCAGAGUCCUACGGGGGGCAGCAGUGGGGAAUUUUGGACAAUGGGGGGAACCCUGAUCCAGCCAUGCCGCGUGUGUGAAGAAGGCCUUAUGGUUGUAAAGCACUUUAAGCGAGGAGGAGGCUCUUUUGGUUAAUACCCAAGAUGAGUGGACGUUACUCGCAGAAUAAGCACCGGCUAACUCUGUGCCAGCCGCCGCAGUAA
rnacentral:rRNA from 1 species